AACGAACGCUGGCGGCAGGCCUAACACAUGCAAGUCGAACGAACCUUUUGGUUAGUGGCAGACGGGUGAGUAACACGUGGGAAUAUGCCCUUAAGUACGGAAUAACUACUGGAAACGGUAGCUAAUACUGUAUAGUCCCUUCGGGGUAAAGAUUUAUCGCUUAAGGAGUAGCCCGCGCCUGAUUAGCUUGUUGGUGAGGUAAAAGCUCACCAAGGCGAUGAUCAGUAGCUGGUCUGAGAGGAUGAUCAGCCACACUGGGACUGAGACACGGCCCAGACUCCUACGGGAGGCAGCAGUGGGGAAUAUUGGACAAUGGGGGAAACCCUGAUCCAGCCAUGCCGCGUGAGUGAUGAAGGCCCUAGGGUUGUAAAGCUCUUUCACAUGUGAAGAUAAUGACGGUAGCAUGAGAAGAAGCCCCGGCUAACUUCG
rnacentral:rRNA from 1 species